CGUACGACGUAGUUUGAUCAUCGGCUCAGAACGAACGCUGGCGGCAGGCUUAACACAUGCAAGUCGAACGGGUGUAGCAAUACAUCAGUGGCAGACGGGUGAGUAACACGUGGGAACCUUCCUAGGGGUACGGAACAACUCAGGGAAACUUGAGCUAAUACCGUAUACGUCCGUGAGGAGAAAGAUUUAUCGCCCUUAGACGGGCCCGCGUCGGAUUAGGUAGUUGGUGGGGUAACGGCCUACCAAGCCUACGAUCCGUAGCUGAUCUUAGAGGAUGAUCAGCCACACUGGGACUGAGACACGGCCCAGACUCCUACGGGAGGCAGCAGUGGGGAAUCUUGGACAAUGGGCGCAAGCCUGAUCCAGCCAUGCCGCGUGAGUGAAGAAGGCCUUAGGGUUGUAAAGCUCUUUUACCAGGGACGAUAAUGACGGUACCUGGAGAAUAAGCCCCGGCAAACUUCGUG
rnacentral:rRNA from 1 species